AUUGAAUGCUGGCGGCAGGCCUAACACAUGCAAGUCGAACGAGUGGCGGACGGGUGAGUAAUGUCUGGGAAACUGACCGAUGGAGGGGGAUAACUACUGGAAACGGUAGCUAAUACCGCAUACCAUCGGAUGUGCCCAGAUGGGAAUAGCUAGUAGGUGGGGUAACGGCUGACCUAGGCGACGAUCCCUAGCUGGUCUGAGAGGAUGACCAGCCACACUGGAACUGAGAAACGGCCCAGACUCCUACGGUAGGCAGCAGUGGGGAAUAUUGCACAAUGGGCGCAAGCCUGAGGCAGCCAUGCCGCGUGUAUGAAGAAGGCCUUCGGGUUGUAAAGUACUUUUAGCGAGGAGGCGUUACUCGCACAAGAAGCACCGGCUAACUCCGUGCCAGCAGCCGCGGUAAUUC
rnacentral:rRNA from 1 species